GAUGAACGCUGGCGGCGUGCCUAAUACAUGCAAGUCGAGCGAACAGACGAGAAGCUUGCUUCUCUGAUGUUAGCGGCGGACGGGUGAGUAACACGUGGGUAACCUACCUAUAAGACUGGGAUAACUCCGGGAAACCGGGGCUAAUACCGGAUAAUAUUUUGAACCGCAUGGUUCAAUAGUGAAAGACGGUUUCGGCUGUCACUUAUAGAUGGACCCGCGCCGUAUUAGCUAGUUGGUAAGGUAACGGCUUACCAAGGCGACGAUACGUAGCCGACCUGAGAGGGUGAUCGGCCACACUGGAACUGAGACACGGUCCAGACUCCUACGGGAGGCAGCAGUAGGGAAUCUUCCGCAAUGGGCGAAAGCCUGACGGAGCAACGCCGCGUGAGUGAUGAAGGUCUUCGGAUCGUAAAACUCUGUUGUUAGGGAAGAACAAAUUUGUUAGUAACUGAACAAGUCUUGACGGUACCUAACCAGAAAGCCACGGCUAACUACGUGCCAGCCGCCGCCGUAAAAC
rnacentral:rRNA from 1 species